UGCUACUUUUUGGCUUCUAAGCUUAGAUAACACCAGAUCAGCGGCGGUGGAGGAGGAGGAACAUUGUCUGCAGCAGCGGCUGCGACUACUGCUACUGCUAGAGGAGGAGCAGGUUUGUCAUAAAACAAUAUCAUUGAUGGCUCAUCCUUCAAGUCUCCUACACAGCAACUGUGAUUGCAGAUGUUGAAUCGACUUGGGGCCUUGCACCACUGAAGCAAAGUAGUUUUCUGAUUAAGGGAAUAAAGGAAUGGCUUUUGCUUUACUAUUGUUUUUUAGAUUUUUGGUGGGGAUUUUGUUAUUCCUUAGUUUUCUGCUGCCGCUGCCGCUGUUGCUAUGGAGGAAUUGGUUGAGAGGUGGUGAUCCAUUGAGGAGGCUAAGAAAGAGAGAGAGUUGGGUUAUGAGUAGGGUUUUUAUUAAGGCCAAUUUUGUCCUUUAAUGUUUAGACUGCACUGCUUAACACGUCAAAUCCGACGUGUCAUUGUCAUUUGGCAUCCUACUUCGCUUCAUUUCUAACAAUUAAUGGGUCUCAUACGUCCUAUUCAUGUUUUCGACAA